rnacentral:rRNA from 1 species
CAAUAGCGUAUAUUAAAGUUGUUGCAGUUAAAAAGCUCGUAGUUGGAUUUCUGGUUGGAGCGAACGGUCGGGCAUUGAUUUGUCUGCACUGGAGUCGGUUCUGGCCAUCCUCUUGGAAAGUGCGUCUGUCAUUAAGUUGUCGGGCGUAUGAUCCAGGUCUUUUACUGUGAAAAAAUUAGAGUGUUUAAAGCAGGCCUUCGCCUUGAAUACAUUAGCAUGGAAUAAUAAGAUAGGACUUUGGUCUAUUUUGUUGGUUUGCAGACCGAAGUAAUGAUUAAUAGGGAUAGUUGGGGGUAUUUAUAUUCCAAUGUCAGAGGUGAAAUUCUUAGAUUUUUGGAAGAUAAACUUAUGCGAAAGCAUUUACCAAGGAUGUUUUCAUUAA